UCAUAUAUUUAAUUAGAAAAGUCAAUGCCAUUGACUUUUUAAAGCCAAGGGCCUCCUAGAAUUAUGUUUUGCAAAAUGUGCUAUACACAUUGCUUAUGGUAUAUCAAGUAGUCCACAUAUGGUUAGGCAGUUUUGGAGAUAAAAAUGAUGAAACAAUCCUAUUUACACAUGUUUUAUAAAUUUGAAAUGUAAUAUUAAUUAUACUUUUUAAAUUCCACUGCAUUUUAAUGAUUAUAUCAUAAAAGUUGUAAAUGUGCUCCAAGAACUGCGUUGGUAAAUUUGUUUCAGCUGUCAUUCAGCUAACAGAGUCUUGUGAAAAUUUUCCAAUGUCACUUGUAUUCUAUUAGUUGUGAUUCUUGUUCUUAAAUUGCUGCGUGGAAACUAAUCUAUGGUGACAAUAAUCAGGGCUUGGGAAGGCUUGAUUGUAAACAGGCUCAUGACCCUGGGAACUUUUGGGGAUGCAGCAAUUAUUUUCUUAUAUUGAUUAUGUUGGUAGUUCCAUGGAUGUAGCUUGCCAAAACUCAUUAAACGAUACACUUCGAAUG
ensembl:lncRNA novel transcript